ACGGAAGGCAGCAGUGGGGAAUAUUGCACAAUGGGGGAAACCCUGAUGCAGCGACGCCGCGUGAGCGAUGAAGUAUUUCGGUAUGUAAAGCUCUAUCAGCAAGGAAGAUAAUGACGGUACUUGACUAAGAAGCUCCGGCUAAAUACGUGCCAGCAGCCGCGGUAAUACGUAUGGAGCAAGCGUUAUCCGGAUUUACUGGGUGUAAAGGGAGCGUAGACGGUCGGGCAAGUCUGAUGUGAAAGCCCGGGGCUCAACCCCGGAACUGCAUUGGAAACUGUUUGACUAGAGUGCAGGAGAGGUAAGUGGAAUUCCUAGUGUAGCGGUGAAAUGCGUAGAUAUUAGGAGGAACACCAGUGGCGAAGGCGGCUUACUGGACUGUAACUGACGUUGAGGCUCGAAAGCGUGGGGAGCAAACAGGAUUAGAUACCCUGGUA
rnacentral:rRNA from 2 species